ensembl:lncRNA
UAGCUAGGCAUUCAGUGACUAAAUUCCCCAUUGAGUGGCUAAACUGUACAAUGCCGUUAUGAAAUCAUUCAAAUUGAUUUCUGCAUUUGGCACUGGGAUACCAUGCAUGAGAGGGUAAUUUACAGUAAAAUGUGAUAUGCAGCAGUGGAGCGUGAGUGAUUGUGUGGUCGAGGAGCCGAGAAUCCCCACUGUAUCGCUCCCAGCAAGCGGUGGCUCAAAGAGCCAGGGACAGUAUGCAGGCGGUGAGAGCGAACCCCAACCACGCCACGGCAAAGCCCCUUCAUCCGUGAUGUAAUCACAGAUAGUGCAGAAUGGUGCUUUUUUGGGGUGGGGGGUCACUGAAGGUGGGGUUCGCCCAGGGAGCCAUACAAGCUAGAACAGCCACCCGAAAUCCACAAGAUUGUGUCCAGGGGAAAUACAAUGUUUCCCAUUAAGAGCAGGUUGUCCCAAGACUCUUCUAUUAGACCAAUUUGUUUUUCUUGUGAAAGAUGCUGUUAGCCACAUAGCUUACCUCAGCCAGUUAAGUUAUUUUAUAUGGGCCUUCGCUCUGAAAAAAUGGACUUCAAUUAAGCCCUCUUGUUGUUUGUAAACUCAAAUUAAAAUGAAGAUUAUUGUUGAAAUGAAUUAAUAGACUGGUGUAGUUUUUCUCCAUCUGUUGCUUGGCACCACUUGCAUAAUAAGUUAGCUAUAUUUUCAGCACCGGGUGCUGUUCACCUUCUUUUGAUUGUGCUGCGGUUGCAGCUUUACAUUUCAGCACCUAAAAAAAAUGGUCCGCUGCCUGCUUUAUUAGUUGACAGUCUCCUGCAUUCUCUCUCCUCAUGAAUAUAGUGCAAUUGUAACUUUUGCAUUAUUUAGGUAGGGUCACUUCCCUCUUGGGAUAUUGCAUUUGGGACGUUUUGCAUCUCAGGUCC